CGGCUGUUUUUAUUGAACGUUAUCCUCGACCAAAGUAGACUAAUGGAAACCUAGGAGAGAGAAUGUGACAUACGAAAUGUUGAUGUUCAUUCAUGGUGAUAGUUGAGAUAAAAGAGGCGAGUGUAGAGGUGGAUCGAGAACAAAGGGUCGCAGAAUCCGGCAACCCGUGAUGAUCACUUUUCCGGCCUUGUUACCAGAAGGGGGAUGUUGCUGUAUGGUCUCCGAGCAAGUUAGGUGGGUCUCCGUGUUGGUAACCCGGAAACGUGGUCGAUAUCUUUGUAUUUGAUGACUGGCUGUUAGUAAUGGAUCUAGGCAACCGCAUAUGAAAGGGCUGCAUACUGGAUUAAAUGGAAAUUUUUUUUUUAUUGAUUGUGUUGUUUAAUUGAUUGAUUGGUUGAUGUUGCUUUACUUGUUUGAUACCCUUGAACCCUAUUUUGUCCUAGGGUUUAUCAGCUACAAACCCUUUACUCCUCUUUGUUCAUAUUCAAUUGUAGAUUAACUAAUUGUGGAACUUACAAUGUGUAGAUAUCAUUCUAUUGGGAGAAAUGUCUGUAGUUUAAUAUGAUAUUGUUGCUGAAUUUCACAAUUGAUGUUUAUUUUGUUGUCGAA